rnacentral:rRNA from 1 species
UACGUAGGGUCCAAGCGUUAAUCGGAAUUACUGGGCGUAAAGCGUGCGCAGGCGGUUCGUUAAGUCAGCUGUGAAAGCCCCCGGCUCAACUGGGGAGGGUCACGCGAUACUGAUCGACUCGAAGGCAGGAGAGGGUAGUGGAAUUCCCGGUGUAGUGGUGAAAUGCGUAGAUAUCGGGAGGAACACCAGUGGCGAAGGCGACUACCUGGCCUGUUUCUUGACGCUGAGGCGCGAAAGCUAGGGGAGCAAACGGG